GACGAACGCUGGCGGCGUGCCUAACACAUGCAAGUCGAACGAGGUCCAGAGGAGCUUGCUCCUCGAAGACCUAGUGGCGAACGGGUGAGUAACACGUGAACAACCUGCCCUGGAAUCUGGGAUAACCCGAGGAAACUCGGGCUAAUACCGGAUACCUCCCUCUGAUCGCAUGGUCGGAGGAAGAAAGUACUUCGUUCUAGGAGGGGUUCGCGGCCUAUCAGCUUGUUGGCGGGGUAACGGCCCACCAAGGCAACGACGGGUAGCUGGUUUGAGAGAACGAUCAGCCACACUGGGACUGAGACACGGCCCAGACUCCUACGGGAGGCAGCAGUGGGGAAUCUUGCGCAAUGGGCGAAAGCCUGACGCAGCAACGCCGCGUGCGGGAUGACGGCCU
rnacentral:rRNA from 1 species